AUACGGAGGGUGCGAGCGUUGUCCGGAAUCACUGGGCGUAAAGGGCGCGUAGGCGGCGCAGUAAGUAGGGGGUGAAAUCUCACGGCUCAACCGUGAAACGGCCUCCUAAACUGCUGUGCUAGAGCACGGUAGAGGCAGAUGGAAUUCCCGGUGUAGCGGUGGAAUGCGUAGAUAUCGGGAAGAACACCAGUGGCGAAGGCGGUCUGCUGGGCCGUUGCUGACGCUGAGGCGCGACAGCGUGGGGAGCAAACAGGAUUAGAUACCCCAGUAGUCC
rnacentral:rRNA from 1 species